rnacentral:rRNA from 19 species
GCGGAGGGAUCAUUACCGAGUUAUACAACUCAUCAACCCUGUGAACAUACCUAUAACGUUGCCUCGGCGGGAACAGACGGCCCCGUAACACGGGCCGCCCCCGCCAGAGGACCCCCUAACUCUGUUUCUAUAAUGUUUCUUCUGAGUAAACAAGCAAAUAAAUUAAAACUUUCAACAACGGAUCUCUUGGCUCUGGCAUCGAUGAAGAACGCAGCGAAAUGCGAUAAGUAAUGUGAAUUGCAGAAUUCAGUGAAUCAUCGAAUCUUUGAACGCACAUUGCGCCCGCCAGUAUUCUGGCGGGCAUGCCUGUUCGAGCGUCAUUACAACCCUCAGGCCCCCGGGCCUGGCGUUGGGGAUCGGCGGAAGCCCCCUGCGGGCACAACGCCGUCCCCCAAAUACAGUGGCGGUCCCGCCGCAGCUUCCAUUGCGUAGUAGCUAACACCUCGCAACUGGAGAGCGGCGCGGCCACGCCGUAAAACACCCAACUUCUGAAUGUUGACCUCGGAUCAGGUAGGAAUACCCGCUG